rnacentral:rRNA from 1 species
UACGGAGGGAGCUAGCGUUAUUCGGAAUUAUUGGGCGUAAAGGGCGCGUAGGCGGCCUGGCAAGUGGAAGGUGAAAUCCCUCGGCUUAACCGAGGAACUGCCCUCCAAACUGCUUGGCUUGAGUCCGGGAGAGGUGAGUGGAAUUCCCAGUGUAGCGGUGAAAUGCGUAGAUAUUGGGAGGAACACCAGUGGCGAAGGCGGCUCACUGGACCGGAACUGACGCUGAGGCGCGAAAGCGUGGGGAGCAAACGGG